rnacentral:rRNA from 1 species
UACGAAGGGAGCUAGCGUUGUUCGGAAUUACUGGGCGUAAAGGGCGCGUAGGCGGUUUGGCAAGUUGGAUGUGAAAGCCCAGGGCUCAACCCUGGAAUUGCAUUCAAGACUGCCUUACUUGAAUUCGGUAGAGGUUGGUGGAAUUCCCAGUGUAGAGGUGAAAUUCGUAGAGAUUGGGAAGAACACCCGUGGCGAAGGCGGCCAACUGGACCGACAUUGACGCUGAGGCGCGAAAGCGUGGGGAGCAAACAGG